rnacentral:snoRNA from 1 species
UGGCUCGGUUUCCUGGGGGGUGGGCCCAGCCUACUCUACCUCCCCUCAGCUGAGCCUACAGUAGAGGGGCCAGGCAUCCUCCCCCAUGGGAGAGGCAUUUGAGUAAGAAGCCUUGCCUUGGGUGUCCUAGCCUCACAUUU